UAUUAGCACGCACACUUCGCGCGCGCGAAUUGUAUAUAAUAUAUUUUCGCCGGUGCUGCCAAAAAAUGUUUUUUUUAACGCGCGACCUUGACUUACAUACCUGUUAUUAUAAUUUUUUACACGAUUCGUUUUCAAACGUCGCGCGUUAUUUUUUUCGUCGAUAUUAUAAAGAGGUAGGUAUUAUGAGUAAAAAGCACCUAUGCACGUACUCUAUGACAUUAUAUGUUUUCGUAUGACAUAGUCGACGGGACGACUGAUUGUGAUAAAUUUAAUAACGUUAACGCCGCCGCGACUACAGCUAUAGGGAGCCUAUUUUACAGACUCUCUAACGGUGACUAUAAUAUAGACGCAGGUAGUUUAUAGCCGAUGUAAAAUCACAACAUUCGUACAGUCCUGGAGAUGAUUAUCUUUGUCAAAAUCGUAUACAGCGGAAACAGAAAUUUAAAAAAAAAGAGGUUUUCACGACGCCUUUCGACCGAUCGCCCACCGUGUGUAAAGGCGCGCACUAUAUGCAGUAAAUGCGUUUGCAAUAAACUCAAGUUUUUGGCUGAAGUCGAAUUAAGGCGUACGAGUAUGCGUCGCGUAAGCCGUCAUCGUCGAUUUCGAUGAACCAAGCAAAAGCUAUACGAGCUUCUAUUGCGUUGGAUUGAUCGGGAACUCCGGACGAUCAGCUCCGCUGUUUGCUCCAGCAUCUCUGCUGUCGUAAAAUCACGUUAUGAAUUUAAUGCAUAGAUACCUUUACACAUCACAGCAAUAGCCGCGAGAGAUUAACGGUGUUCUUCGCACUGUCACCAUAGCCUCUGAGUUGCACAGGCUGUCGUUGCCGUGGUGAAGAUUGUACAGCGACAUAUCUGGCCGAAGUGGUUGUUUUUGAACUAUAGAUGUUGUGACUGCAGACUAAGGAUAAAGGUUCGAGGAAAUGUCACUCAAUUACACCACAAGGGGUCACAACUUUCGGAGGUCACAGAAACAAAAUAAUAGGCAUACGAAUGACUCAUUAAAGUCAUCUACUCAUAUGGUAUAUAUAUUUUACUAUAGUUAACAACCACGGUUUAUAUAACUCGGUAAAAAAAUAUGAAAAUACCUGACUAUAUUUGAUUUUUUAUAACAAUUAAAUGUUAAAACUGCCUCAAUUAAUAAAUAACCAUAUGUUUAACCGGAUAUGUAUUAUUAUGAAUAACUGCAGUUUCUGUUUUUAUUUUAUAAAACACGACAACUGGCGGACCGGCGUGGAGUACCUAUAUAUACGUUUAUGGUUUUCAUUGUUUGAUUUAGAUCUCUGACGUAAUAUUACAAUGUAUUAAUGUCUCAAAAGUCAAAGGUGUAAUGCACUUAUGUAAUCCAGCUAUAUAUACACACCGCUGCUGUCGCCGCCGCCGUCGGUAUACUGGUUUCUCUUCGGGCAUCAUCGAAAUAAUAAUAUAUCGUAUCGCAGUCGUUUUUACAGUCCGUAUUAUAGGUAUCGUUUUAGGUAUGCCUCUAAAAAAUGCAAACACAUUAUACGUAUGGUCGUAUUAUUUAGGUUACGGUGGACUACUGUUCAAAAUGUGUUUUUCUGUUCGCGCUCUCAAACCGAUUCCAUUGUCAUUAUAAUGAUCAGUUCGAGCUAUUGGCAUAAUAUACAAUAUUGUAUCUGCAAUUUUCUGGUCUCUCGCACAUUUGUAAAUCGUCAUUGUGUAAUAUAACUAAUGAGUGUACUCGCGGGAAAAUAAAAUUUCUUUAUGAUGUCGUACGGAACAGAUGGGAGACCAGAAAUAUCGGGAAAUUUGUACGAAAUAUAAAGUAGAUUUACUCCCGCGACAUUCCCAUUGACGGAAUAGUAAUAUUAUAUACAUGACAAUAAUUUAUCUGUAAGAAUGUUCAUUGUUCGUGUGUUUUCUUUUCGUUGUUAUUUUAACGACAAUCGUUUCUUUGUUUCUGCUGAUGAGACUCGCACACGCACAAUAGCAAACGAAUUCAACAGCUUAAAAUUUAUUUUAAAUUCUGAACGAUCCAAUUUAUUGGUUUUAAAAUAAUGUGUUUAUUUUUAUUUAUUUUGUUUGUAUUUUUUGUCAUGUUUUGGUUAAAAAUUGUAUACAAUCAUCGACUUAGAGGAUUUAGUUAACACAACAUAUUAUAUGAAUUGUCGAUAAAACGGAUAAUUAAUAUUGGUGACGAGAAGUAUUUCCACUAUAAUAAUAUUAUUUUGUUAUAUUAAUAAAAUCUAUUGUGGACUUUACAUAACCUUGUUGUUGAAGUGACAAUACGUAUAAUCAAAAUGAUAGUUGUUGAUUUUAUACC